CAGUCGCCGCGGGAAUACAGAGGGUGCGAGCGUUAAUCGGAUUUACUGGGCGUAAAGCGUGCGUAGGCGGCUUCUUAAGUCGGAUGUGAAAUCCCUGAGCUUAACUUAGGAAUUGCAUUCGAUACUGGGAAGCUAGAGUAUGGGAGAGGAUGGUAGAAUUCCAGGUGUAGCGGUGAAAUGCGUAGAGAUCUGGAGGAAUACCGAUGGCGAAGGCAGCCAUCUGGCCUAACACUGACGCUGAGGUACGAAAGCAUGGGGAGCAAACAGGAUUAGAUACCCCAGUAGUCCCUGUCUCUUAUAC
rnacentral:rRNA from 1 species